rnacentral:ncRNA from 2 species
GCCGGUGCGAGUCCGGCGCUGUCCCGCAACUGUGAGCUCCCCUCGCGGGGAGCAAGCCAGG